GGCCGCGGGAAUUCCAUUUAAGCCUAACACAUGCAAGUCGAGCGGUAGAGAGAACCUUGCUUCUCUUGAGAGCGGCGGACGGGUGAGUAAUGCCUAGGAAUCUGCCUGGUAGUGGGGGAUAACGUUCGGAAACGGACGCUAAUACCGCAUACGUCCUACGGGAGAAAGCAGGGGACCUUCGGGCCUUGCGCUAUCAGAUGAGCCUAGGUCGGAUUAGCUAGUUGGUGAGGUAAUGGCUCACCAAGGCGACGAUCCGUAACUGGUCUGAGAGGAUGAUCAGUCACACUGGAACUGAGACACGGUCCAGACUCCUACGGGAGGCAGCAGUGGGGAAUAUUGGACAAUGGGCGAAAGCCUGAUCCAGCCAUGCCGCGUGUGUGAAGAAGGUCUUCGGAUUGUAAAGCACUUUAAGUUGGGAGGAAGGGCAGUUACCUAAUACGUGAUUGUUUUGACGUUACCGACAGAAUAAGCACCGGCUAACUCUGUGCCAGCAGCCGCGGUAAUACAGAGGGUGCAAGCGUUAAUCGGAAUUACUGGGCGUAAAGCGCGCGUAGGUGGUUAGUUAAGUUGGAUGUGAAAUCCCCGGGCUCAACCUGGGAACUGCAUUCAAAACUGACUGACUAGAGUAUAGUAGAGGGUGGUGGAAUUUCCUGUGUAGCGGGGAAAUGCGUAGAUAUAGGAAGGAACACCAGUGGCGAAGGCGACCACCUGCACUGAUACUGACACUGAGGUGC
rnacentral:rRNA from 1 species